GUGUACAUUCCUCAUAUAAUAAAGUAACAAUAAAUCUCAGCUAUUAAACCAGGCAGUAUUCACUUAUCUUACAGGAUUACUCCAAUCACCACUUCUAUUUUUUAAAGUGGUUAUGGUGGUAGGUAUCUGGCUGUGCAGUGUUUCAGUUUGAAACCCUGAACACCCAGAGAUAUCUGCACUUUGUGCUGGGGGCUAGUUUCACCCUAUUCCUGGAAUGUCGAAUGUCAAUUCUGGGCAUAUUUUACUUCUGUCGUCAGUGCGCACUGCGUGCAGGUAAUAGACGUAAUCUAAUUCUCCAUCUCCC